rnacentral:rRNA from 1 species
GAUGAACGCUAGCGGCAGGCCUAAUACAUGCAAGUCGAACGGUGUCUUCGGACAUAGUGGCGCACGGGUGCGUAACACGUAUGCAACCUACCUUACAUUGGGGGAUAGCCUUUCGAAAGGGAGAUUAAUACCGCAUAAGACAGUAGCUGGGCAUCCAGCAGCUGUUAAAGAUUGAUCGAUGUAAGCUGGGCAUGCGUCCAAUUAGCUAGUUGGUGAGGUAACGGCUCACCAAGGCAAUGAUUGGUAGGGGAACUGAGAGGUCAAUCCCCCACACUGGCACUGAGAUACGGGCCAGACUCCUACGGGAGGCAGCAGUAGGGAAUAUUGGGCAAUGGACGCAAGUCUGACCCAGCCGUGCCGCGUGCAGGAUGAAGGCGUUAUGCGUUGUAAACUGCUUUUAUACAGGAAGAAACGACUCUUGCGAGAGGCAUUGACGGUACUGUAUGAAUAAGCACCGGCUAACUCCGUGCCAGCAGCCGCGGUAACAC